rnacentral:tRNA from 1 species
AGAAUUUUAGUUAAAGCUUUAUAACAUAGGAUUGUCAUUUCUAAGUUACUAACAAUCAUUAGUAUUUUCUA